UGGCAGAUUGUCAAUCUCCUCUGUGUUGGACCAGGUGUGUUGGCCCACGCCUUCCACUGUUUGUCAUCAGGGCCACACUACAUGUUGUAAUUGGACAAGUGCUUUACCUGGGCGUGUGGUUGAUCGACGCUGCAGUUGUUGCUGCACCCUGCUGUUCCUUUUGAUUUCCUUUUUCCAUAGUUUUUCAUUUAUUUUGUUUACUUAUUGUUUUGCAAAUAUACAUCCUCUUAUUUUGUACUAAUAAAUAUUGUCCUUUUUA